rnacentral:rRNA from 1 species
GAUGAACGCUGGCGGCGUGCCUAAUACAUGCAAGUCGAGCGAACAGACGAGGAGCUUGCUCCUCUGACGUUAGCGGCGGACGGGUGAGUAACACGUGGAUAACCUACCUAUAAGACUGGGAUAACUUCGGGAAACCGGAGCUAAUACCGGAUAAUAUAUUGAACCGCAUGGUUCAAUAGUGAAAGACGGUUUUGCUGUCACUUAUAGAUGGAUCCGCGCCGCAUUAGCUAGUUGGUAAGGUAACGGCUUACCAAGGCAACGAUGCGUAGCCGACCUGAGAGGGUGAUCGGCCACACUGGAACUGAGACACGGUCCAGACUCCUACGGGAGGCAGCAGUAGGGAAUCUGCCGCAAUGGGCGAAAGCCUGACGGAGCAACGCCGCGUGAGUGAUGAAGGUCUUCGGAUCGUAAAACUCUGUUAUUAGGGUAGAACAAAUGUGUAAGUAACUAUGCACGUCUUGACGGUACCUAAUCAGAAAGCCACGGCUAACUACGUG